CCUACGGGAGGCAGCAGUGGGGAAUAUUGCGCAAUGGGCGAAAGCCUGACGCAGCGACGCCGCGUGAGGGAUGAAGGUCUUCGGAUCGUAAACCUCUGUCAGCAGGGAAGAACGGUCACUGUGCUAAUCAGCAGUGAAUUGACGGUACCUGCAAAGGAAGCACCGGCUAACUCCGUGCCAGCAGCCGCGGUAAUACGGAGGGUGCGAGCGUUAAUCGGAAUUACUGGGCGUAAAGCGCUCGUAGGCGGUAUGUCAAGUCAAGGGUGAAAUCCCCGCGCUCAACGGGGGAACUGCCUUUGAAACUGGCAGACUGGAGUGUGUGAGAGGAUAGUGGAAUUCGAGGUGUAGGAGUGAAAUCCGUAGAUAUCUGGAGGAACAUCAGUGGCGAAGGCGACUAUCUGGCACAUAACUGACGCUGAGGAGCGAAAGCGUGGGUAGCAAACAGGAUUAGAUACCCGGGUAGUC
rnacentral:rRNA from 1 species